UUUUUUUUUGGCUUACAGUUCUAAGGGAUAC
rnacentral:piRNA from 1 species